CUACCUACUUUCUCAUCCAGUAAAAAAAAAUCUGUUCUUAUCAGCUUAAUAUCUGUUAUAUCCUGCAUCACAGGACUAGAAUAUUAAACACAAUUUUAAAUCAUGACAGAGAGCUAAGAGCAUGCUCUACUAUAAGGCUAAUAGUACUGUAUGUAUCACAUUAUAAAUUCGAUAAUAUAGCUGAU